rnacentral:rRNA from 1 species
UACGUAGGGGGCAAGCGUUGUCCGGAAUUAUUGGGCGUAAAGCGCGCGCAGGCGGUCUUUUAAGUCUGAUGUGAAAUCCCGCGGCUUAACCGCGGGCGGUCAUUGGAAACUGGAGGACUUGAGUGCAGAAGAGGAGAGUGGAAUUCCACGUGUAGCGGUGAAAUGCGUAGAGAUGUGGAGGAACACCAGUGGCGAAGGCGACUCUCUGGUCUGUAACUGACGCUGAGGUGCGAAAGCGUGGGUAGCGAACAGGAUUAGAAACCCCCGUAGUCC